CUCUGUGACUCUACGGGAGGCAGCAGUGGGGAAUAUUGCACAAUGGGCGCAAGCCUGAUGCAGCAACGCCGUGUGAGUGAAGAAGGUUUUCGGAUCGUAAAACUCUGUCCUAAGGGAAGAAACAAAUGACGGUACCUUAGGAGGAAGCCCCCGGCUAACUACGUGCCAGCAGCCGCGGUAAUACGUAGGGGGCAAGCGUUAUCCGGAAUCACUGGGCGUAAAGGGUGCGUAGGCGGCUUAGCAAGCCAGGGGUGAAAGGCAUUGGCUCAACCAAUGUAAGCCUUUGGAACUGUUAGGCUUGAGUGCAGGAGAGGUAAGUGGAAUUCCUAGUGUAGAGGUGAAAUUCGUAGAUAUUAGGAGGAACACCAGUGGCGAAGGCGACUUACUGGACUGUAACUGACGCUGAUGCACGAAAGCGUGGGUAGCGAACAGGAUUAGAUACCCUGGUAG
rnacentral:rRNA from 1 species